AUAUUUAGGGUUUAUUAGUAAAAUAUCUGCCUGCAAUGCAGGAGACCUGGGUUCAAUUCCUGGGUUAGGAUG
rnacentral:tRNA from 1 species